CAGGAUGAGGAGCUGCCCCCCUGGAGGAUCACGCAGGCCUCUGGGUGGCAUUCAGCAGGGUUGGCUGCGGCACCGGCUGACCACAGGGCCCAACUUUCCAGUCCCAGCCGGAGGGAAGCGUCUCAACCAUGUUGUAGGCACACGGGUGAGGGUGCUGCCUGCCUCCCUGACUCUUACCUCCCCAAGAGAGGAAAACAAAAGAAAAAAAGAUAAGACCAGGAAAUGGAAAUAAGACAAAGAAGAAUGAAAUUUUAAAAUCCGAACAAACCCAAACAUGCUGUUUCAAAACGUAAGUCCAUGAAGAGUCUCGUGGUGAGAAAGACAGAAUUCCUAGCCAGGAAAAUGCCCCGUGCUUGCCCCUCGGAGGCAGGUGCUCACCACGGCAGGGUCUAUCUAGGUGUUUAUUAAGGUGUCUCACCACGUAUCGCCCAGAUUCACCAGAGAUGCAGAGGCGGAGGAUACGUUCCUGUUUACAUUGAUACAUAGUUACAUAGGUGAAGAGCUUUACAGCGAGGAAGCGGCUCACGCGGCCAUGAGGGACCCAGGCAGGAGCUGCUGUUGCUGCCCCAGGUGCGAUUCCUUCCUCCUCAGGGAGGCUCAGCUCCCCGCUGCAGCCAGGUGGGCCCAGGCAGGCCUCUUUGACCUAUAGCGCAGACGGCCAAGUGCUGGUCACGGCCACUGCAUCUACACCACCCCUUUCUCAGCAGCAACUCCACGAGUGCUCGAUGGGAAACUGCAGACAGCAGCCUUGCCAAGCGGAUGCCCAGGGCCGACCACCGCAGCCCCUCCAGCCACGUUCUCCAUCAGGGCAGCCUCCUGCUGGCUUCGGCACUGCAGGCAGCACACCAGCGAGGGGUGGGGCUGUGUGCCACGAAGCGUCAUCCAUGGACAUGCCACGAAGGGUUAUUCUUCUUUUGACUUUUUCUGAUGGUUUAAAACUGUAAGAACAUGCAGCUCACAGUCCGCACGGAAGCAGGCAUGUGGCUCCUGCCUCACUGUGGGAGGAAAGAUGUUCUCUAAAGAAAUGGCUGGGUUUGCGGAGGGGUUUGUGGAGGGCCGGGCAGUCUGAACACAGCCCAGCUGGCCUUGGUGGAGGUGGGGCUGGCACAGGGGGGUGGGGGCAGUUCUUCCUGACGCAAAUCCUAACGCCUUCAACACUGACCUUCCAAAGAAACAGCUGCUGGACGCUGCCCGACAGCAACGAGAGCCCCGCUCCUAAGGCGCGCGACUCUCGAGGGCUUUGUUGUUUAUUUGGCACCCGAGGCCCAGGCUCACAGGGUCUCGGGUGCAUGGGACCCCCCAGCCCUUCCCACUGCUCUGCGAUUCUUCCUCCCUUCUGGAAAGGUCAGUUUGGGGUUCUAUUCUGGGAGGGGCCAGGCCGCCACCUGGCCUCAUUAACUGGGCAGGCCACUGGGACCUCCUCCGAAACGCUGCGGCCCUGGCCGAAGACUUGCCUCCCGCCGGGAGCCUUCGGCCCUCUUAGUAGUGGAUGUGGGCUUCCUCCCUCUGAGGGGACGUCCUGAUGGACACGAGAUGUGGGGCGCCCGUGGGUGGCCGCCUGCUCCUGCCACAGUCCCCCUUGGGGCCUGAGCUGCGGCUGCUGCCUCCGUAGGGAAGGAACAAUGGGGGGUGGGCCCGCCCCUACCCAGAGAGAGUGGGCCGUGUUGCCUGCAAGGCCUCAGCCAGGGGACCACGUUUCUCUGCAUCUUGUGGCUUUGGGUUCUGCAGGCUGUUUGUGGGAGAACGGGAAACAGUCCCAGAGAUGACGCUGCCUCAUGCAGGUUAACAGAGUUGGAGGUCAGGCCGACGCCUGAGGCUCAGGACGCUGAUGGGCGCCUUCCCUCACCAGGGCCAUUUGGUGGAGACUCUGAGAGCCUGAACUUAGAAGCCCGCCGAGAGGGGAAGUGGCGGCCUCCGGGGAGUGGGCAGCCUGGCCGCAGAGCGCGCG
rnacentral:lncRNA from 1 species